rnacentral:misc_RNA from 1 species
UUGUGAUUGAGGAACUGGCAUCGGUAUGAUCUUUAUAUCCUUUUGAAACUAGUAGUAUAUUUUGCAUGUAGACAUGUGGAUGGUUGCUGUUUUAAGCAGAAAAAUCCUUGGUUAGGAUUCAACUUGCAAGUGCAUGAGCAUUAAAUUGUGGCUGUGGGUUUCAACCCCUUGUUUGACAUUUUUAGGUGUUUGUAUUGUUUGAAUCCUUUUAGUCUUGUGUGACAUUGAAGGAUUUUGACAUGUUUUAUGUAAACUUGUAGAACCUGUGUACAUCAACAUUCUUUUAGACUGCAUAUGAAUUUAACAAAUAGACUGGUGGUUCCUAAUUUUGAAGGUAGUAUUGCUUAAAGUUUGAUGGCAGAGGUGCAAAUAUUGUCUGAUUUUGCAGUUAAUUAGUCAUAAAUGAACAGAGACCAAACUCGGAAUUAAUUCAAAUCUGCAUUCCAUUUGUUUGGAGCUUCAGUUCAUUAUCUGUGUGGUUAUUGACUUUUAAGUUUUUGUUUAAUUUUACCUAGUAGUAAUAUUAUUUGAUAACUGUUAUUCUGCUAUGCUUCUGCUGACUAUUCUAUUAUUCUAUCAACUUUCUUCUAUUUGCUAAUGACUUCUUGAUUUG